rnacentral:rRNA from 1 species
UUUACAAUGGAGAGUUUGAUCCUGGCUCAGGAUGAACGCUAGCUACAGGCUUAACACAUGCAAGUCGAGGGGAAACGACAUCGAAAGCUUGCUUUUGAUGGGCGUCGACCGGCGCACGGGUGAGUAACGCGUAUCCAACCUGCCCAUCACUUGGGGAUAACCUUGCGAAAGUAAGACUAAUACCCAAUGACGUCUCUAGAAGACAUCUGAAAGAGAUUAAAGAUUUAUCGGUGAUGGAUGGGGAUGCGUCUGAUUAGCUUGUUGGCG